GGCGAUGUCGGCCACCCACCCGACCCAUCUUGAAACACAGACUAAGUAGUCUAACACGUGCGUGAGUCAGGAGCUCGCAUGAAAGUCGCCAUGGCGCAAUGAAGGUGAAGGCUGGCGCUGCUCGCCGGCCAAGGUGGGAUCCUGAGGCCUCUCCAGUCCGCCGAAUGUGCACCACCUGCCCAUCUCGCCUGCCACGCUGGGGAGGUGGAGCAUGAGCCCACGUGUUAGGGCCUGAAAGAUGGUGAACUAUGCCUGGGCAGGGCAAAGCCAUAGGAAACUCUGGUGGAGGUCUGUAGCGGUCCUGACGUGCAAAUCGGUCGUCCGACCUGGGUAUAGGGGUGAAAGACUAAUCGAACCAUCUAGUAGCUGGUUCCUCUGAAGUUUCCCUAAGGAUAGCUGGCGCUCUCGCACAUGAACUCACGAAGUUUUAUCUGAUAAAGCCAAUGAUUAGAGGUCUUGGGGCCCAAACGAUCUCAACCUAUUCUCAAACUUUAAAUGGGUAAGAAGCCCAGCUCGCUGGUGUGGAGCCGGGCGUGGAAUGUGAGUGCCUAGUGGCUACUUUUGGUAAGCAGAACUGGCGCUGUGGUAUGAACUGAACACCGGGUUAAGGCACCCGAUGCCGA
rnacentral:rRNA from 1 species